rnacentral:rRNA from 1 species
GUUUGAGAUUAGUGGAAUGCUCUGGAAAGUGCGGCCAUAGUGGGUUAUAGCCCUUUACGCGAAAAUCUCUUGGUCAAAACGAGUAGGACGGAGCACGAGAAACUUUGUCUGAAUAUGGGGGGACCAUCCUCCAAGGCUAAAUACUCGUAAUCGACCGAUAGUGAACCAGUACCGUGAGGGAAAGGCGAAAAGAACCCCGGGAGGGGAGUGAAAUAGAUCCUGAAACCGUAUGCGUACAAGCGGUGGGAGCCUACUUUGUUAGGUGACUGCGUACCUUUUGUAUAAUGGGUCAGCGACUU